AGAUUAUUCAACUCUACAAUCUUUUUAUAUUAAGUACUGCAUUUGUUUGAUUUUAAAAAGUUAUACUUUUAAUUUCCAGUCCUACUCUAAAUCUGAAAUAGUUCAAGCAGGAGAGGAAUUAAACUGGAAGAAAAUUCACAAACGGAUCUUUUUGUUCUUGAAUUUAGUUUAUUAAUGAUUCCAUGUUUUUAUAAGAACUUGGUACAAAAGGUGAGACUACUCUUCAACCAUCCAUCCUUCCAUUAAUCAGCGAUUUAAUGCAUCAGAAAGAAGGAAAAACUACGUUGGCAUAUUUAAGACAAACACUUUCCUAUACACACUAUCCACUGGACGGUUCCUGGUUUCCACCGACGGACAGAAACGUCUACUUCACCUCCAUCUACACAAACUGUUCUGGUUUCUCUUGGCUCCGAUAAAAGAAUAUAAAAAUGUUUUUUUUUUUUUCUUUCUUUUUUUUUUGUUCAAAUGUUGUGUUGUGUAGUAAAAUAGAUCUGUUUAAGCACUGCACAGUUUCUCCCGGAGAAGAUUCCUAGAAACGGAUGAUGGAGGAGGAGGAAGGUGGGUUUCUCUCCUCCGUUAUUCUUUUUUUAAAUGUGUGAAACGUCGAUGCGUCAAAAAGAACUGAUAUGGUUUCCAUCGGUUUGGACGUUCUACCUCUACGGUGAGGACUUGAUAUGCAUCACAUGGCACAUUUCAAAAUAAAAGCCCUCUGAUUGUGACAGAUAAUUUUAUUCUCAUGAAGGCAGGUUGGACUCUGAAGGAGCUUCGCUGGGAAGAAUAAAAGAUCCUGCAGCGUCGAUCCUUCAGAGACCAAACAGAGCGCCGCACCUCGACUGAUGGGCUGAACUCACCUUCCAGCUGCUCCGUGGUGACGAGGCCGAGGGCGACCAUGAAGGCCAUUUUCUGCAAGAAAUGAAGAAGAAUAGAGUCACUCUGCGCCUCCAGGAAAGCUUCAGCUGUAAAACCAAACUGGACUUCACCUCCGGGUCCUCCUUCUUCUUCUUUGGAGGAGAUUUUACAGAUGGAGCCUCCUGAGAGGAGAGGUCAGCCUGGACCCCUGGGGACCCCUCGGUGCUGCUGGGGGCCUGGGGCUGGAUUAUGAUCACCUGGAAACACAAAGUCC